rnacentral:rRNA from 1 species
CCUACGGGCGGCUGCAGUGAGGAAUAUUGGUCAAUGGCCGGAAGGCUGAACCAGCCAAGCCGCGUGAAGGACGAAGGUGCCAAGCAUUGUAAACCUCUUUUGUCAAGGAACAAAAUCGGGCUCGAGAGCCCGACCGAGGGUACUUGAAGAAAAAGCAUCGGCUAACUCCGUGCCAGCAGCCGCGGUAAUACGGAGGAUGCGAGCGUUAUCCGGAUUUAUUGGGUUUAACGGGUGCGUAGGGGGGAUGUUAAGUCAGCGGUAAAAUGCCCCGGCUCAACGGCGUGGAGAGCCAUUGAGACUGGCUUUCUGGAAUGCGGAUGCGGUGGGCGGAAUGCGCGGUGUAGCGGUGAAAUGCAUAGAUAUUGCGCAGAACUCCGAUUGCGAAGGCAGCAUACCGGCGGCGAUCUGACGCUGAAGCACGAAAGCGUGGGUAUCGAACAGGAUUAGAUACCCGAGUAGUC